rnacentral:lncRNA from 1 species
GGGGAUUUGUUUGUUUUAUAUUCUCAGCGAAUAGCGCGCGAAAUAGGAGCUCCAGAAUUUUUGUGCCACUGGCUUAUUCUGCCCUACCAAUUUUGAAUGUGAAAUAGUGAUUGCGUUGUAUUAGGUCAAAGACUGUCCAAAAAUAUAAGGCGGAGGUUCCAAAAAUAAAUAAAACUGUCCGCUUCUGCUAACAGUAUCCUUCUCAGGUCUAAGACUGAGCAAUUAGGUCAAUGUAUUUACGUAACGGCAGUCAGUACAGAUGUGCUCGUCAGGCUGCAUGUGUGUUUAUGCCAGAAUAUA